rnacentral:ncRNA from 1 species
CGUUCUCGGGGCGGGGCGAAAUUCCCCACCGGCGGUAAGGGAGAUCGAUCCCAAGCCCGCGAGCGCUUGCCGGAUCGCCGGCAAGGUCAGCAGAUCCGGUUGAAUUCCGGAGCCGACGGUUACAGUCCGGAAGAGAGAGAACG